rnacentral:lncRNA from 1 species
UAAAUAAUGCUAGGGAACUUGCAAUUUCUUUUUGAUUCACGAAAAUUCUGGACGUCUGUAGGUAUACAUUAAAGACCAUUAAUAUGUAUUAUUAAGCAGAAGAAGAGAGGAAAGAGAUUAGUUGAAACUGCGUGGAAAUAAAUUUAAUUCAUAUUCAUUUGGAUGGGUCUUUCCUACGGAGUAAUCGGAUAUAUGAAUUUUUAUUUCUGCACUUGGAUAUCCAAUUCAGACGCCUUCUGAUACCAUCUUCAAUGUCAAGAAAUAUCGCCUCUUUGUGCUUCACUCGGUGGAUCUCUACUUUAAUGCAAAGAUCGUUCAUUGUGUAGAUGCCCGUUUAGAUCAAGUUCCGCCAGAUCUUCUACGGAAUCAUAGCAUACUUCUACAUAUAAGAACUAAGGGGUUCCAUGAAACGACAGAAUAAUCGACUGAAAGAUCCAGUGAGGAACAAAGAGUGCAUCCUCCAUCUAUAUCUCCUUCUUGAAAGUCAACUCUGCUUCGUCUCCUACUAAAUUAUUUCAUUAAUAAGAGUCUUGUGAUUCAUUGGAAAAUAAUUUUGUCUAAAGGACUCGAGGGAAAGAGUGGACGAUCAGUAGAAGAAGAGCAUCCUUUUUUCUUCUCUUUGCUGAUUAGCUUAAAGUUGUUAGCUGCCAUCAGGGCAAUUUUAAAGGUUUUUAAUUCAAUUUAUC